rnacentral:rRNA from 1 species
CGAACGCUGGCGGCGUGCCUAAUACAUGCAAGUAGAACGCUGAAGAGAGGAGCUUGCUCUUCUUGGAUGAGUUGCGAACGGGUGAGUAACGCGUAGGUAACCUGCCUUGUAGCGGGGGAUAACUAUUGGAAACGAUGGCUAAUACCGCAUAACAAUGGGUGACACAUGUCAUUUAUUUGAAAGGGGCAAUUGCUCCACUACAAGAUGGACCUGCGUUGUAUUAGCUAGUAGGUGGGGUAACGGCUCACCUAGGCGACGAUACAUAGCCGACCUGAGAGGGUGAUCGGCCACACUGGGACUGAGACACGGCCCAGACUCCUACGGGAGGCAGCAGUAGGGAAUCUUCGGCAAUGGGGGCAACCCUGACCGAGCAACGCCGCGUGAGUGAAGAAGGUUUUCGGAUCGUAAAGCUCUGUUGUAAGUCAAGAACGAGUGUGAGAGUGGAAAGUUCACACUGUGACGGUAGCUUACCAGAAAGGGACGGCUAACUACGUGCCAGCAGCCGCGGUAAUACGUAGGUCCCGAGCGUUGUCCGGAUUUAUUGGGCGUAAAGCGAGCGCAGGCGGUUUGAUAAGUCUGAAGUUAAAGGCUGUGGCUCAACCAUAGUUCGCUUUGGAAACUGUCAAACUUGAGUGCAGAAGGGGAGAGCGGAAUUCCAUGUGUAGCGGUGAAAUGCGUAGAUAUAUGGAGGAACACCGGUGGCGAAAGCGGCUCUCUGGUCUGUAACUGACGCUGAGGCUCGAAAGCGUGGGGAGCGAACAGGAUUAGAUACCCUGGUAGUCCACGCCGUAAACGAUGAGUGCUAGGUGUUGGAUCCUUUCCGGGAUUCAGUGCCGCAGCUAACGCAUUAAGCAC